GAUGAACGCUAGCGGCAGGCUUAACACAUGCAAGUCGAGGGGUAUCACGCUUUCGGGCGUGAGAGACCGGCGCACGGGUGCGUAACGCGUAUACAAUCUACCUUUUACAGAGGGAUAGCCCAGAGAAAUUUGGAUUAAUACCUCAUAGUAUUUUCGAAUGGCAUCAUUUGAUUAUUAAAGUUCCAACGGUAAAAGAUGAGUAUGCGUCCCAUUAGCUAGAUGGUAAGGUAACGGCUUACCAUGGCAACGAUGGGUAGGGGUCCUGAGAGGGAGAUCCCCCACACUGGUACUGAGACACGGACCAGACUCCUACGGGAGGCAGCAGUGAGGAAUAUUGGACAAUGGGCGCAAGCCUGAUCCAGCCAUGCCGCGUGCAGGAAGACGGUCCUAUGGAUUGUAAACUGCUUUUAUUAGGAAUAAACCUUACUACGUGUAGUAAGCUGAAGGUACUGAAUGAAUAAGCACCGGCUAACUCCGUGCCAGCAGCCGCGGU
rnacentral:rRNA from 1 species